rnacentral:rRNA from 1 species
GACGAACGCUGGCGGCGCGCCUAAUACAUGCAAGUCGAACGGGUCUCCUUCGGGAGGUCAGUGGCGGACGGGUGAGUAACACGUGGGUGACCUGCCCCGAAGUGGGGAAUAACGCUGCGAAAGCAGCGCUAAUACCGCAUAUGCUUAACGGUCCAAUCUGUUAAGCAAAGCAGCAAUGCGCUUUGGGAGGGGCCUGCGGCAGAUUAGCUAGUCGGUGGGGUAAUGGCCACCGAGGCGACGAUCUGUAGCUGGUCUGAGAGGAUGACAGCCACACUGGGACUGAGACACGGCCCAGACUCCUACGGGAGGCAGCAGUAAGGAAUAUUCCACAAGU